UACGUAGGGUGCGAGCGUUAAUCGGAAUUACUGGGCGUAAAGCGUGCGCAGGCGGUCUGUUAAGACCGAUGUGAAAUCCCCGGGCUUAACCUGGGAACUGCAUUGGUGACUGGCAGGCUUUGAGUGUGGCAGAGGGAGGUAGAAUUCCACGUGUAGCAGUGAAAUGCGUAGAGAUGUGGAGGAACACCGAUGGCGAAGGCAGCCCCCUGGGUCAAGACUGACGCUAAAGCGCGACAGCAUGGGGAGCAAACGGG
rnacentral:rRNA from 1 species